CUAGGCCUACGGGGGGCAGCAGUGAGGAAUAUUGGUCAAUGGGCUUACGCCUGAACCAGCCAAGUCGCGUGAGGGAAAACUGCCCUAUGGGUUGUAAACCUCUUUUGUCAGGGAGCAGCGCCGGCUACGUGUAGCCGGACUGAGAGUACCUGAAGAAAAAGCAUCGGCUAACUCCGUGCCAGCAGCCGCGGUAAUACGGAGGAUGCGAGCGUUAUCCGGAUUUAUUGGGUUUAAAGGGAGCGUAGGUGGAUUGUUAAGUCAGUUGUGAAAGUUUGCGGCUCAACCGUAAAAUUGCAGUUGAAACU
rnacentral:rRNA from 1 species